rnacentral:rRNA from 1 species
UACGUAGGGGGCAAGCGUUGUCCGGAUUUAUUGGGCGUAAAGAGCUCGUAGGUGGUUCGGUAAGUCGGAUGUGAAAUCUCCAGGCUCAACCUGGAGGGGUCAUUCGAUACUGCCGUGCUUGAGGACUGGAGAGGAGACUGGAAUUUACGGUGUAGCGGUGAAAUGCGUAGAUAUCGUAAGGAAGACCAGUGGCGAAGGCGGGUCUCUGGACAGUUCCUGACGCUGAGGCACGAAGGCCAGGGGAGCAAACGGG